CUGGACCUCGGGGGAGCAGUAGGGAAUUUUCGUCAAUGGGCGCGAGCCUGAACGAGCAAUGCCGCGUGAACGAGGAAGGUCUUCGGAUCGUAAAGUUCUGUUGAAGGGGAAAAAGAGCGGAGAGAGGAAAUGGUCUCCGAUUGAUAUUACCCUUCGAGGAAGUCACGGCUAACUACGUGCCAGCAGCCGCGGUAAUACGUAGGUGGCGAGCGUUAUCCGGAAUGAUUGGGCGUAAAGGGUGCGUAGGCGGCCUGCUAAGUCUGGAGUGAAAGGUACCGGCUCAACCGGUACAGGCUCUGGAAACG
rnacentral:rRNA from 1 species